CACUUUAAACCAAAAGAUAUACUCUAAACAAUAGAUCUAUUGUAUUAAAAAAAAUCCAAUUCAAUGUUAAGCAAUAUAUUGAUAGUUCAAUUGGCAUAAAAAAACAAGUAUCACGGAUUAUACAUAAACAAAUGAAGAAAGUUAGUGAAGGAAUAAUAUUAAUUAAUAAUACACACAAAAUACAAAAAUUAGCCCAAGUUUGAAAAAGGAAUUAGUGGAGAAAUACUAUCACAAUGAUUAUACACUAACAAUUGAAGUGCUGCUGCAAUGCAUUAUUGGUGUUUUGGAGUUCGCCAUUGAUGUUCUUGGAUUUAUCCUUGAAGAAGAUGAAGAACACAUCACUUUCUCUCUCUUCUUUGAACCACGAGUCAUGAAUUCAAGGAGUAAAUAUUACUAGCAUAGGCAAGAUCGAGAGAAAGGAAUGGAAGAAUGCAAGAUGAAUAUGGAAAAUCAGAGAAAGAGAUAGAGGAAAACCAGUGAAGGAAAAAGAGAGUGAAUAUCGGCUGGAAAAGAGGGAAAAAAUGAAAAACCAAUAAACCCUACACCUACAGAAGAUUCCAGAAAAAAAAAAGAAAAGAAAAAAAAAACUAUGUAACUUCCGGGUUUUCGGGUACCCGUCUGCUAUAUAGAUCGGCCCAUGACCCGACCCGGGAGUUGCACAGAUUUCUCGAGUCGAGUACCGCAAAAUGAUUUUUAAAAAAAAAUACCCGAGCAAUUUACUCCGGGUCGUCGGGUCAUUGGGUCGGGUCAGUCGGGUCGAGUAUUUUUGAACACCCCUAUUUUCUGUAACUUUAAAAUGUGGGAUUGUUUAGGGAAGAUAGAGCAAAGGUGGGAUUAUUAGUUUUCAUUUUCCUUUAAUAUUAAGGCUUAGUUUCAAUAGGCGAGUUAAUAUAUAAAUGGUUAAAUCAAAAUUCAAGAGAUGCGAUUUAAUACCGAUAGAUUAAUUAUGUGAUUAUAAUGUGUAGCGAAAGCCCUCAAGUGCACCUCACACUUUCCCUUUUUUCUAAGCCCUCUCUUCUAAGCCCUCACACUUUCUCUCUCUUCCAAGCUUCCCUUCUUCCAUUUUCUCUCUCUUCAAAAUUGCUUCAAUUAUUCUUCUAUGGCGAGAACUCGAGGUGGUGGUACAUUUAACCGAAGAAGAGGCCUUCGUUCUUCAUCUACUAAAGUAGAUCGACCACUACUUUCAGCGCUUUAAGAAUCGAGGUUUUGUUGGUUGGCUUUGGGAGCUAUUGUUAAUUGAUGAAUUGUCACUUGCCUCCUCACCAAAUUGUCUCUUGAGUACCAUCUCUACAACCAGAUUAACUAGAGAAAAAUCAAUAGCAGGUUACUAACCAAAAUAUGCUAAUAGUAGCAUGUUUUACAGAGUACGAGGCAAUAAUCAACCACUAUGAAAGCGCGUAGAAGCUUCGCUAUAAUACAGAAGUUUCAUAUCUAAAACUAAUAUGCCUCUGUAAAGUCUAUACUAAAGAUACACAUGUUUGAUACUACAAUAAACAAAACGGGAAGCCCAAGAUCGACAAUCCACCAUGGAAAUUUUAGCUUACAUUGUUCUCAUUCAUAGGCCUUAAUAAUUUCAUGAUUAAAUUAUAAGCCAAUUAUGCAUAUAGGUGAUGAAUUCUUGGUAUAAAUUCUUGUCAUGUAGCAACUCUUUUUAAUGAAAGUGUUUAUUUACUCCUUA